GACCAGCACGCGGGGGCGUGGCUCAGGCUCGUGGAGGCGUCCGAGCUCCAGGGCAGCUCUGGGGCAGAACUGUCCGGAUCUAACAAUGCUUGGGGAGCCGGAGACCGGUGACCGAUCUGUGGGCUAACUCAGGGCUGCCCGGGAGACAUAGGCGGGCCGUGGGGGCAGCCGCCCUGCCCGCAGGCCAUGUGGCCCCCGCUGUUGCUGCUGCUGCUGCUGCUCCCGGCCGCCCCGGUCCCCACCGCCAAAGCCGCUCCCCUCCCGGAUGCUAACACCCAGGAAGGCCUUCAGAACCUGCUCCAAGGAGUCGAGGCUGGCGGAGACGGAGAGCUGCAGGCAGACUCACACCUGGCCCCGGGCUCUGGCUGUAUUGAUGGGGCUGUGGUGGCCACACGACCAGAAAGCCGGGGAGGAAGUCCUGCGGCUCCGUGAGAGGUGUCCAGGGCUGCAGGCCACGGCGACAGGCUCCGGGGAACAUGGGGCUUUCCCUGUCCACUCCCAAGGAGUGUGGGUCUCAACGCAUUGGCAGGGGACGGCCGUGUGCCCUCUCCAGACCCCACCCCCAGAUGCAUUUAUUAGAAAUAAUAAAGUUCUUUCUUAGCUA